AGUAUGGUGGUUAUAGUUUAUAUGUUAAAUGUUCUUAUUCUUGAACUAUUUGGUUUUAUAAACAGAACUGAAGCUAGGAUAAGGCAAGAGAAUCACCCAGUGGACAGAAUGUAAGGAGAUACUCACUCUUAGGGUCACACAAGUCCCAGCCCCGUUCCUAAACAUAAGGAUCUACUUUCCAGAAGCGACACAGAACAUCUCCAUUCUGGGCCUUUGACAAAAGAUUGGGACAUCCAUCCAAUGUUUCAGCACAUUCCUGAGUUACCACUGUGAUGGAGUGUUCUUGGAAGACUCUCCAGUUUCUUACUUCUCAGGACAUUGGCUGUUUUCCAAAGAAUGUACCUUUGGAGACAGUCAUUAUCACUCCUGGGUUUUGCCAGUUUAAUUUUGCUAUAUUCAGAAAUCACACUAGAAGCACUCUCUGCCUCAACCAGGCUUCUGGGUUGUUCUGCUUUCGGAUAUUGUCGGAUGCAACAGAACAUCGAGUUAAGGGUGAGUGCUACUUAAAGCCCUAUAUCUUACUGAGAUUACUCAUAUUUCCAGGGCCAUUCUCUCUGGGAGUUUCUCAAAUCACCAGAUUUGAAACUUGAGGGAACCUUGAAGAUAUAGUAUUCUAGAAGGCUCAGACAAGUUAAUGAAGGCAGACAGAUGACAGAGGCCAAGUCAGGACUGGAUAGACCAAAUUUCUUAAUUUUAUCCUGUGUUUCCACUGCCGCAUGAGACUUCUCACUAAAACCAAAACUUAUAGGUAAGAACAUGGCAGCAGUCCAAUGUCAUUUAUAACUGAAAGAUAAGCUCAAAACAAAUAUCCCUUUGUAAAUGUAUAUGGCAAAAGACAGUCUUCAGUAUUCACUAAAGUGUGUAGUAUUCAUUCUUAAACCUGUUCUGACCUUGAAAGCUUGAAUCAUAACCUUUGCUAAAAUAAAGCACCCUCUUCUUGAAAGUAACCCCA
rnacentral:lncRNA from 1 species